CCCUCUGUUGCCCUAGCGCCCCUUGGAAGCCAAGAAUAUGAGGAAGUCUUCUUCCUUCGCGCCUUCUUCUUCCUUACGCUCCAGGGCAGCCUGACAGAGCCGCUCGAAGGCUCUGCUGGCCGCGGCUAGCCGGUUUACCCAUUCCACUGGACCCAGCCACCACCCACUCCUGCUGUCUGAGUUCAUUCUUCCUCAUAGCAGCCCCUGCAUUCAGUUUGGUUUAGUUGUUUUAUGUGGUUUCUAGCCUGAUUUUUUUUUUCAGGGUGCAGCAGAAGUCUCAGGUAGCUGAGAAGUUCAUGGAAUCUUCUUAUUUGCUACACCUUUCACUACUGCUUGUGAUAUAGUGCAGGGUUGGGAUGUGCAGACAUUUCUCAAGUGCACUGUGUACCUACACAGCAUGCUGCAAUUUGGCUACUGAAGUCAAGAGAAACUGGUUUGAACAACUACUGAGUGUAACAUAGGAAGCGCAUUUCAUUUGAUAACAGGAACACAGCUUUUGUGCUAAUAAAAUGCUUUGAAAAUUAGUGUGUGGUCUUUAGUAAUUAGCAUAUACAUUUUAGUUAUCCAUUGGUUCAUAACAAACGGACUAAAUAGGUACCCCACUGAGUCAUUUAUCUAAAUGAAAAGUUUGGUUAAAUUGUAGUUGUAGGCAUUGAUCAAAGCUAAUGGGAAAAAGAGAUUAAGAUGAAAAUCAUGGGAUUAAAUUUUUAAUUAGUUUG
rnacentral:lncRNA from 1 species